UGCACCUGAUUGAUUUUGGUCGCCAACGAGUGGCGGACGGGUGAGUAACACGUAUGUAACCUGCCCAGAAGCGGGGGACAACAUUUGGAAACAGAUGCUAAUACCGCAUAACAACGUUGUUCGCAUGAACAACGCUUAAAAGAUGGCUUCUCGCUAUCACUUCUGGAUGGACCUGCGGUGCAUUAGCUUGUUGGUGGGGUAAUGGCCUACCAAGGCGAUGAUGCAUAGCCGAGUUGAGAGACUGAUCGGCCACAAUGGGACUGAGACACGGCCCAUACUCCUACGGGAGGCAGCAGUAGGGAAUCUUCCACAAUGGGCGCAAGCCUGAUGGAGCAACACCGCGUGAGUGAAGAAGGGUUUCGGCUCGUAAAGCUCUGUUGUUAAAGAAGAACACGUAUGAGAGUAACUGUUCAUACGUUGACGGUAUUUAACCAGAAAGUCACGGCUAACUACGUGCCAGCAGCCGCGGUAAUACGUAGGUGGCAAGCGUUAUCCGGAUUUAUUGGGCGUAAAGAGAGUGCAGGCGGUUUUCUAAGUCUGAUGUGAAAGCCUUCGGCUUAACCGGAGAAGUGCAUCGGAAACUGGAUAACUUGAGUGCAGAAGAGGGUAGUGGAACUCCAUGUGUAGCGGUGGAAUGCGUAGAUAUAUGGAAGAACACCAGUGGCGAAGGCGGCUACCUGGUCUGCAACUGACGCUGAGACUCGAAAGCAUGGGUAGCGAACAGGAUUAGAUACCCUGGUAGUCCAUGCCGUAAACGAUGAGUGCUAGGUGUUGGAGGGUUUCCGCCCUUCAGUGCCGGAGCUAACGCAUUAAGCACUCCGCCUGGGGAGUACGACC
rnacentral:rRNA from 2 species